AUGACGACGCCAUCAGGUGGAGGGUCAGAGUGUAUGUCGAAGGUGCAGAUGUUACACCCAUCAGUGGCCUCAGCGACGCUGGCCGGCGAUGAGGUGGAAGGGUGCAGGUUGCGACCGGUGGUGGCCUCGGCAGCGGGUAUCAGUGAUGAGGUGGACGGGUGUAGGUUGUGGCCGGUGGGAACUGGCGACGAGGUGGACGAGGCACGAGGCUCGCCAGGGCCUGGACAGGCGAGCCAAAUAGGCGGAGGCUUUUGGACGAAUCAUGAUUGCGACGAUGGUGAAGUGGCGCAUCUCAUACGGGUGUUGAGCUCGUCGCCAUUGGGAGGACCCUCGUGGGCAGAAGGAUUUGGACAGAUUUGGGGUUGUGAUAUUUUCGAUCGGGUAUAG
rnacentral:rRNA from 1 species